rnacentral:rRNA from 1 species
AACCUUCGGGGAACGUUAACGGCGUCGAGCGGCGGACGGGUGAGUAAUGCCUGGGAAAUUGCCCUGAUGUGGGGGAUAACCAUUGGAAACGAUGGCUAAUACCGCAUAAUAGCUUCGGCUCAAAGAGGGGGACCUUCGGGCCUCUCGCGUCAGGAUAUGCCCAGGUGGGAUUAGCUAGUUGGUGAGGUAAUGGCUCACCAAGGCGACGAUCCCUAGCUGGUCUGAGAGGAUGAUCAGCCACACUGGAACUGAGACACGGUCCAGACUCCUACGGGAGGCAGCAGUGGGGAAUAUUGCACAAUGGGCGCAAGCCUGAUGCAGCCAUGCCGCGUGUAUGAAGAAGGCCUUCGGGUUGUAAAGUACUUUCAGCAGUGAGGAAGGUAUCGUAGUUAAUAGCUGCGGUAUUUGACGUUAGCUGCAGAAGAAGCACCGGCUAACUCCGUGCCAGCAGCCGCGGUAAUACGGAGGGUGCGAGCGUUAAUCGGAAUUACUGGGCGUAAAGCGCAUGCAGGUGGUUUGUUAAGUCAGAUGUGAAAGCCCGGGGCUCAACCUGGGGAAUAUCUUGAGAACCGGAGGACUCAGAAUUCUCGUUAAAGGGGGGCGUGAGAUUCCGGAGGUACACGGGGGAAUGGGCACAACUCCGAAAGGAAAUAACCGUGGUGGAAGGGCGGGCCCCCCGGACCGAGAUAUUACACUUGAUCGGCAAAGCGUUGGCAGCAAACAAGAUUAGAUACCCCGGGAGGCCACCCCGUAAACGAGGUCUACUUGGAGGGUGGGACCCUGAGCCGGGGGCUCGGGGAAUAUAGACCUCAAGUUGACACGCACUGGGAGUUCCCUCGCCAGAAUUAAAAUCCCAAUGGAUUAGACCGGGGGCCGCCACAACCGGGUGAACAAAUCGGUUUAAUUGGGGUUAACGCCCCAGAAACUUCAGUAAUUCUUUCACUCCCCUGCACUUUUCCCGGGGUGGGGUUUGGGCUUUUGGGAAUUUUUUAACCGGGGGUUACUGGCUUUUUCCCACCUUAUUGGUGAAAAUCUGGUUUAACUCCCGAAAUGAAUUGCACCCCUUCUCCUUUUUUUCCAGCGAGUAAUGUUGGGAACUCCAGGGAGACUGCCGGUGAUAAACCGGAGGAAGGUGGGGACGACGUCAAGUCAUCAUGGCCCUUACGAGUAGGGCUACACACGUGCUACAAUGGCGCAUACAGAGGGCGGCCAACUUGCGAGAGUGAGCGAAUCCCAAAAAGUGCGUCGUAGUCCGGAUCGGAGUCUGCAACUCGACUCCGUGAAGUCGGAAUCGCUAGUAAUCGUGGAUCAGAAUGCCACGGUGAAUACGU